rnacentral:lncRNA from 12 species
AUGGAUGCCCAGAGUUUCAAGGAGAAAGUGGGCUUCUGGAUCAAAAAUCUUCAGCUUAAGAUUCCCGACUCAGUAGUUCUGCUUGUGGGCACUCAUAUUGACCAGUGCACGAAAGAGAAUGAGGUGAAAGAAAAGAAAAAACACAUCGAAGAGCAGGUGAAGGAAAUGCUUGAAACACAUACAACUAAUUUGGAGCGGCGGAUGAAGAACUUCCAGGAAAUGGAGGACUCAUCUUUGUACUAUGACCAGAUAAAUCAGAUUGAGAGACUGACUGAGUACAAACUAAAGGUGGUUGACUUUAUUCCUGUAGAUUGCACUGAACAAGCGGACAUCGACAAGCUACAUUCUCGCAUCAAACAUGAGGUUUUAAACAAAGAGACAUUUCCAAGCAUCGAACAGACAUUACCCAGAUGCUACUGUGAGGUGGAGAAUGAAAUCCAAGAACUCCUGAAAAACGGUGACAUUGCUGAGCAUGGUCAGUAUUUUUUCUUUUCAAUUUUAAGAUUACAAUGUUUGUUGUGUUUGUUCUUAAAUAAGUCUGAAAUUUGCUUCUAUUAACAGGAAUUGUGAGUCAAAGCUCCCUCUUGUAUGAACUAAAGAACAGACAUGAGACACUGGACGAUGACAAACUAAAGUUAAUUCUUCAGUAUCUCCACCGAAUCGGCGUCAUUAUGUGGUACAAGGAAAUCCCGGAAUUGGCGGGUUCUUUGUUUGUAAAGCCAUCAUUCCUCAUCUCAUUGUUCAAGGUUCACGCAUCAAACAUUUAAACUACAACCAUUAAAUGUCAUUGAAUAGCCAUAAACUAAUCAGCUUAGAAAUCCUUCAUCUUUUAUUUUCUUUUGAUUCUUUCACAGACUAUUGUGAGACAUGACCUAGUCCAGGAGCUGAACAAGAUUUCCCCUGCACAGCUGAAGUCAGAAAAUGCACUUGUGAUACAGAAGAAACGAUGGAUCAGUGACUAUAAAGACAGAGCGUCCUUAAACAAUGUGGCUAUCAGGAUCCUGGUGCGGAAUGAGCUCCAGAAGAAUAAUUAUGGCAUUACUGAUGAAGAGCUAAUUGAGGAGGUGGUUGGGUCCAAAAAGAGGGAAGGAAGUCUUCUUUCACUACUAAAGCACUUUGAUGUAUGUUUGUCGACCAAACAUAACAGCCCUCUCAAUCCGAAAGCCAAUGAAUUCUGUCCGCAGAAAAAUUGGAAGCCCUCAAAUCCGAUUGUGUAUGAGCCAGAUGCUUGUCUGUUCCCAAGUUACCUGUCAGACAACAAACAGGUAGAGCAAAAGUGGGAAUCAGACAAUACGGAGGACCUGAAUAUCCAUGUUUACUUCCUACCUGAGAUACCACAUGGUUUCUUUCACAGGUGAAUGCUUAUGUUUGUCUCUUUCAGAGAAAAUAGAGAAUGUCAAUGAAGAACAUUCCUGAUUUAUUUACUCUAUUUGCUGUCUUGUUUUACAAAGUGUCAUCAACCCCGGAUGGAUACCCUGAUGACUUGCUCAAAAAGCCAAUUUAAACUGACUUGACUGUAAGAGAUAACCUUGGAGAACUAGUAAUAACAUGUAAAACUGGUGCUUGCUUUACAGGCUUGUGAUCAGGACAUGCUCCUUAUACUCUCCAUUCUGGAUCGGAAAAGACCAGUGUGUGCUGUGCUGUGGUGACAAACGGUUUCUGCUCAGAGAACGCUGUGAUGAGGACCAGUUCAUUGAGAUCCGCUGCAAAGAGAGCGAGCGUAAGUCCCCUGUUUUAUUACAUUUUCUAUAGCAAUGAUUUACAUUUGUAUCCUCUCAAGCAGAUACUUUGAAUACACAUACACUACACUUCAAAAUUUGGGCUUUUUAAAGAUUUUUUUAUGUUUAUUAAAGACAUUCUUAAUGGUCACAUAUUUAUUAUAUUUUUUUCUAUUAUAAAGUUAUUUAAUCUGUAGUUUCUUAGGGGUUUGUUUGUUUUUUUACAUUAAGAGAUGGUUUUUGUCUUCUUCAUAAAUGUAUUGAAUCUACUGUAUAAUUAAAAUAUUGUACUUAUUGUAAUAAUGUUUCGUCCUGUAGUUGAAACCCCAGGAGAGAUCCAGAAAGCAUGGGGAGUGAUAAGGGAGAUUAUGAAACGGCUGAACACACUGACAGAGCAGUGGCAAGGGCUGUACCUGACUGUCCACAGUCCCUGUAAAUCCAGUGACUGUGAUCAGUACUUUCAAUGGAAUGACUGGCAAGAAUGGCUAGAAGAUUCAGGGACGAGCAAAUUUAAUGUGUAAGUUGUCAUGGAAUUUGCCCUCUUUUUGUGUGUUCUCAACAGAGCGUUACAUAUUCCUUUAUUACAGUAUGUUUGACUCAUCUUGGUUUUAAACAUGAACAUUAAAAUGAAUUCAGGUGACUGAAUACUGUGUUCUGUCUUAUAGAGGACUAGAGGAGAAACAAACUUGCCCUAAUGGACACCAACGAAGGACAGAGUUGCUGUUCCCUAGAAGUAAAUGCAUUUGUUUACAGAUAAAUACAACAUGCACUUAGUCUUCUGCCCUUUAUAAUUCUUAAAUAUUCUGGUUUUCAGCUCCUGAUGCUUCGACCUAAGGAGAGGACACAUGGAACCAAUAAUACAAAUAGAAACUCACUUUACUGGACGGAAAAGGUUGUUAAAGCCCCACAUCAGACUACAAAUGUAUCAUUGCUUAAACAUUGUAAAACACAACUUGAACAUGUUUACGUAAUGAAUUAAAUUUGCACAGAAAAUAGCAUUGUAAAUGUUUUCAACAUGUUAUUACACAAAUUGUAAUAGCUCCAAAUCAUUGAAUGUAGCCUAGAUCACACUUACAAUAGUUAUUUUAUAUUUUUUGAUUUAGUAUGGAAUGGAGAAAUCUCACUUUAUUUAGGGGAACAUAAGAUUUGUGUAGUCUACUCUUAGUAAGAAAUUGUUCGUAUGUCGUCUUGUAGAAACAUAUUGUCGCCGCUAGGGGGAGCGCUUUAUACAUUUACGUUUUACAGUGCAUUUUGUUUGAGGACUUUUUGUGGAAGGUAAAUUAUUGCUGCUGUGGAGUCCUGGCUUGAACAUGUAAUGAAUUGUUCAAUAAAGUUAUCCAGAUACAAAGUUUUAUGGGAUUUACCAAAGUCUGUCAGCCAUGCUUCGAAGUAGCUAGAAAAUAAAAAGUAGGCCUACAUGUUUACCUCAGCGUGUAAAUAUUCUAACAAAUCACAGCAAUUAUGAAGUUUAAAGUCAAAUAUUUUUUGGUUUUAAUUACAAUUUAUUUUAAUGGUCCCCUUCAGACAUUCUGUUGACUAGAAGUAAUUUUGCAACUACACAUAAGCUAACUAACAGUUAAGGUUAGGGUUAGGGUUAAGGUUAAUAAGCAUGUGCAAUGUAUGUGCAAAGUUACCUAUAUAGAAUGUUUGUUGGGAGACCGUAACAAAGUAUUGGCAGAUAUUAAGCAGACAGUCUACUAAUUACUGGUAGUUGGCAUGUAGUUACAUAUAGUCAACCGAAUGUGUAAAGGGGACCAUCAGAAUAAAGGGUUACCGGUUAUUUUUAUUGUGUUGUAAUUUUUUUCCACACAAACUUGUUUAAUUUUUUAUUUUUUUUUUAUCUGUUCAUUCGUGUUUAGAUUUUUACUUCAUUAUAAAGUAAAUAGUCAUUAUCAGGUGAUUUUGUUGAUGGUGCUUUACAAUAUACUAAUUUCAGUGACAGUUCACUUGGAGCAGUCUGAGGUUAGGAACACACACACACACACACACACACACACACACACACAAACAGUGUAGAGACUUUCCAUUGACUUCUGUUGUGUUUAUAUUGCGCUAAAGAUUUCUAUCCUUAAACAGAUCCCUCACACAAACCGUCUGCUUUGUUAAAUUUUUAUUAAGAAAACAUAUUUGUAUUAAUUUUUCCUCAUAAUAACGAAUGAUCCACACAAGUUUUACUAUUCUUGUGGAGACAUUUACACCUGAAAAUAUAUGAAAUACCUGAUCACAACACAACACAAUCUUAAUGAUCAAAAAAGUCUUUAAAGAUUUUUUUUUUUUUAAUUCUAGAGGAUAAAAGUUACAUAUGUAUUCAAGUCUCUCAUGUAGCCUACUUGUUUAUAUACAGAAAGGUUUCCAGUAGAUUAUAUCGAAAUUCUUGUACUAUACACACACACACACACACACACACACACACACACACACACACACACACACACACACACACACACACACACACACACACACACACACACACACACACACACACACACACACACACACACACACACACACACACACACACACACACACACACACACACACACACACACACACACACACACACACACACACACACACACACACACACACACACACACACACACACACACACACACACACACACACACACACACACACACACACACACACACACACACACACACACACACACACACACACACACACACACACACACACACACACA